UGGUAAACGCGAAAAAAAUCUCAGCUCUCAGCUCUGAUUGUAAAAUCAAGUGGUUCGUGUAUUAAACAGUAUGUACUAUUGAGCUAUUGAACUUUGUUAGUUGCUGCAUGCUUUAAGGCGUUAAGCCAUCUGAAAUAAGGGUUUUAAAGGCAACGCGCUGAAAGUCGGAUUAAGGCGUGGACGGCGUGAUUUUGAGAUUUUACGGUUUUUAGUGGACUUUAAAUAUUGAUUCAAAACCAAAAAAUAUUAAAUACAAAAUAUUUAUGCUAAAAAGAUUAGAAAAAAGUAAACUCUUAUAAAAACUGCACAUUAUAUACUAGAAUAAAGCAAAGAAUAAC